rnacentral:rRNA from 1 species
UACAUAGGGUGCAAGCGUUAAUCGGAAUUACUGGGCGUAAAGCGUACGCAGGCGGCUAUGUAAGACAGGUGUGAAAUCCCCCGGGCCUAACCUGGGAACUGCAUUUGUGACUGCAUGGCUAGAGUGUGGUAGAGGGAGAUGGAAUUCCGCAUGGUAGCAGUGAAAUGCGUAGAUAUGCGGAGGAACACCAAUGGCGAAGGCAGCCCCCUGGGCCAAUACUGACGCUCAUGCACGAAAGCGUGGGGAGCAAACAGG